rnacentral:lncRNA from 1 species
GGGAACAAACCAGUGAGCAGCACCCUUCCAUGGCCUCCUCAUCAGCUCCUGCCUCCAGGUUCCUGCCCUGUGUGAGUUCUACCCUUUGAUGAUGAACUGUGAUAUGGAACUGUCAGUGAAACAAACCCUUUCCUCCCCGCGUAGCUUGUGGUCAUGGUGUUUCAUCACAGCACAGGUGGGUUACCCUGCGGAGGGCACUGCCUGCUGCUCUCCAGGCCUUGCCUGGUCUACAUCACACAUUCCGUGCUUACCAUUCUGUACAAAACAAUUUUUCAAUUCCCUUCGAAUUUUUCUUUAAAUUUCUAAAUAUUUAAGAUUUCCUGGAUAUCUUUUAAGAAACUGAUAUCUAUUUUGAUUCUCAUUUUCUUUUUAUUAUGUUGUGUGUUAUGGUUUAAUAAAUGUUCUGCCUUGGUGAAUGUA